rnacentral:lncRNA from 1 species
GAUGCGAGGUUUUCUACUCAGGCUGUUUGAGAAGCAAAUUUUUCCAUUGUGUAUAUUGAGCUUCUGUGGACUUCUUUUUGGAAUAUGGUGAGAAAGUGCCUACUACUCCUUUGCUCUCCAACACUCAGAAAAUGCUCUGCAAAUCCAUGAACACAGAAGGCUGCUUAUCUAUUUCACUGGAGCUAAAAAUGUUCAACAGCCACAUCCUUGACCUUGGAGAUCUCUAAGCUCAGAGGCCCUUGGAGAUCUUUCCACAGGAUCUCCUGCCCCAGUUUCAGAAUAGUGGGAGUCAGGGGAGACUGGAACAGAGAUGACAAUUGCAGCUGGGCAGGAAGGCCCUGAGGGCACUUAGCAGUCACCCUGGAGUUGUAAAUGGCAGAGCCUCGCCAGCUACAGACCCGCCAGCCAGUUGCACAGCAUACAUCAAAGGCUCGAGAUGCCCGGCUGUGGGUUUAAAUGGAGCCCAGGUGUAGCCUGCAAACUCCCUCUCUUCUCCCCCACUGAGCUACACCUCCACUUUACACGCUGAGCUUGGCAACCUCAGCACGACCAAGGCUGUGGGGUCAGAGUUGCUCUCAGUCUUGCCAGCUAGGAACGCUCAGUUAGGCUUGGUGAUUAGAACCCACCCUAUGAAUAGAGCAGAGAUGCUGUGUUAGACCAACUACUGUUCCAGAAUCAAGUGAUUCGGAUCAUGUGUGUAAGCAAAUAAAAAGUUCAAUGUUGUGAAUUGAGAAAAAAUUUACGUACCUCCUUAUUACAAAUUUCAAGCAGAAGAGAUAAGUACGAAGAAUACAAAAUCACUUAAAACUCCACCAUACGGAAACAACCAUCACAAACAUUUUGUUCAUUUUCAUUCCAUAUAUCUCUCAAUGCAAAUACACAGAUGGAAAAAAGAAUGGAAGGAAGAACUGAAGAAUGGAUGGAUGGGUGGAAGGAUGGACAGAUGGACAGAUAGAUGGGUAGGCAGGUGAGUCCGUAGAUGGGCACACAAGUUAUAGAUGUAAUUCUAGAAAUAAUCCUACAGUACAUGUUAUUUUGAACUGAAAAUGUGUUCCUUCUCUUUAGAAACUAUUACCUGUUGCUUUCUUCCUGUAAGUACAGGAGUAAGAUAUUCUUAAUGCAGAAACCUGGAGAUCAUAGAACACAAACUAAAAAAUGCACUCAUAUUCCACCACCAGAAGAUUACUGUUAACAUAUAUGCAUACGUAUGUAUAUAGGUAUGUUAUGGACUGAAUGAUAUCACCCCAUAAUUCACGUGUCAAAGCCCUAAUCUUCAAUGUGACUGUAUUUGGAGACAAGGCCUUUAAAGAAGUAAUUAAGGUUAAAUGAGGUCAUAAGGCCCCUAAUCCAGUAGGGCUGAUAUCCUUAUAAGAGGAGGAAGAGACACCAGAGAUCUCUCUCUCUCUCUCUCCAUGUGUGUACAGAGAAAAGGUCAUGUGAGGACACAGUGAGAAGGUGGCCGUCUGCAAGUAAGGAAGAGAGCCCUCACCAGAAACCAACCCUGUUGGCACUCUGAUCUUAGACUUCCAGCCUCCAAAACUGUGAGAAAAUAAGUAUCUGUUGUGUGAUCCAUCCAGCCUGUAUUACUUUAUGGCAGCCCAAACAGACUCAAACAAAAUACAAUGUAAUAUUUAGCAAUGCACCUCUGUCACCUACCUCCAUGGUCCCUUUUUCAGUCUUUAUUCUGUUCAGUGGCCAAGGGCCAAGGACUCCCUGUGAUGCCAGCCUCUGGGCACCAGAAUGGAACUACUCAAAAGGGCAACAGCAGCCCCGCAGGCCUCCCCAUCCUCCCACCCAGUGUAGGCUCAGUAAUAACUGAGUCUUCAUAGCUACAAUGCCUUGAACCAGAUUUUAAAACAAACAAACCAUGCAUGAAAUUGAUACAAAAAAUAAAAUGCUGCUUAAGUCUG